rnacentral:rRNA from 1 species
CUACGGGCCGCUCCAGUGGGGGAUAUUGCACAAUGGGCGAAAGCCUGAUGCAGCAACGCCGCGUGAAGGAUGACGGAUUUCGGUCUGUAAACUUCUAUCAGCAGGGAAGAAAAUGACGGUACCUGACUAAGAAGCCCCGGCUAACUACGUGCCAGCAGCCGCGGUAUACGUAGGGGGCAAGCGUUAUCCGGAAUUACUGGGUGUAAAGGGUACGUAGGCGGCUGAUCAAGUCAGAUGUGAAAGCCCGGAGCUCAACUCCGGGAUUGCAUUUGAAACUGGUCGGCUAGAGUGCAGGAGAGGAAAGUGGAAUUCCUAGUGUAGCGGUGAAAUGCGUAGAUAUUAGGAAGAACACCAGUGGCGAAGGCGGCUUUCUGGACUGUAACUGACGCUGAGGUACGAAAGCGUGGGGAGCGAACAGGAUUAGAUACCCGCGUAGUC